GGGUGCGGAACACGUGUGCAACCUACCUUUAUCAGGGGGAUAGCCUUUCGAAAGGAAGAUUAAUACCCCAUAAUAUAUUGAAUGGCAUCAUUCGAUAUUGAAAACUCCGGUGGAUAGAGAUGGGCACGCGCAAGAUUAGAUAGUUGGUAGGGUAACGGCCUACCAAGUCAAUGAUCUUUAGGGGGCCUGAGAGGGUGAUCCCCCACACUGGUACUGAGACACGGACCAGACUCCUACGGGAGGCAGCAGUGAGGAAUAUUGGACAAUGGGUGAGAGCCUGAUCCAGCCAUCCCGCGUGAAGGACGACGGCCCUAUGGGUUGUAAACUUCUUUUGUAUAGGGAUAAACCUAGAUACGUGUAUCUAGCUGAAGGUACUAUACGAAUAAGCACCGGCUAACUCCGUGCCAGCAGCCGCGGUAAUACGGAGGGUGCAAGCGUUAUCCGGAUUUAUUGGGUUUAAAGGGUCCGUAGGCGGACUCGUAAGUCAGUGGUGAAAUCUCAUAGCUUAACUAUGAAACUGCCAUUGAUACUGCGGGUCUUGAGUAAAGUAGAAGUGGCUGGAAUAAGUAGUGUAGCGGUGAAAUGCAUAGAUAUUACUUAGAACACCAAUUGCGAAGGCAGGUCACUAUGUUUUAACUGACGCUGAUGGACGAAAGCGUGGGGAGCGAACAGGAUUAGAUACCCUGGUAGUCCACGCCGUAAACGAUGCUAACUCGUUUUUGGGGCUUCGGCUUCAGAGACUAAGCGAAAGUGAUAAGUUAGCCACCUGGGGAGUACGUUCGCAAGAAUGAAACUCAAAGGAAUUGACGGGGGCCCGCACAAGCGGUGGAUUAUGUGGUUUAAUUCGAUGAUACGCGAGGAACCUUACCAAGGCUUAAAUGGGAAUUGAUCGGUUUAGAAAUAGACCUUCCUUCGGGCAAUUUUCAAGGUGCUGCAUGGUUGUCGUCAGCUCGUGCCGUGAGGUGUUAGGUUAAGUCCUGCAACGAGCGCAACCCCUGUCACUAGUUGCUAACAUUUAGUUGAGGACUCUAGUGAGACUGCCUACGCAAGUA
rnacentral:rRNA from 1 species